rnacentral:rRNA from 1 species
GCGGGAAAGCGGAAGCCGGGAAUGGAAAGCCCGGUGCAAGCGGGGUACCAGUCACUUCGGCAAAUCCGGGUGGCAAUGGGAAGCCGUGAUGCGGAGCGAAAUAAAGUAGCGAAGUCCGUGAGCCAUGCGUCAAGAAAAGCCGCUAUCGUUUAUACCGUACCCGUACCGUAAACCGACACAGGUGGAUGAGGAGAGAAUCCUAAGGCCGGCGGAAGAAGCAUUGUCAAGGAACUCGGCAAAAUGGCCCCGUAACUUAGGGAUAAGGGGUGCCUGGGAAACCAGGCCGCAGAGAAUAGGCUCAAGCAACUGUUUAGCAAAAACACAGGUCUAUGCGAAACCGAAAGGUGAGGUAUAUGGGCUGACGCCUGCCCGGUGCUGGAAGGUUAAGAGGAGAGGUUAGCGCAAGCGAAGCUUUGAAUUUAAGCCCCAGUAAACGGCGGCCGUGACUAUAACGGUCCUAAGGUAGCGAAAUUCCUUGUCGGGUAAGUUCCGACCCGCACGAAAGGCGUAAUGAUUUGAGCGCUGUCUCGACAAUGCAUCCGGUGAAAUUGAAGUACCAGUGAAGAUGCUGGUUACCUGCGCCAGGACGGAAAGACCCCAUGGAGCUUUACUCCAGUUUGGUACUGGGACUCGGUAUUGCAUGUACAGGAUAGGUGGGAGGCUAGGAGACAGUAACGCCAGUUAUUGUGGAGCCGCUGUUGGGAUACCACCCUUGCAGUAUUGGGUUUCUAACCAGCCGUCGUGACCCGGCGGUGGGACAAUGCCAGACGGGGAGUUUGACUGGGGCGGUCGCCUCCGAAAGGGUAUCGGAGGCGCCCAAAGGUUCCCUCAGAAUGGACGGAAACCAUUCGAAGAGUGCAAAGGCAGAAGGGAGCUUGACUGCGACACCGACGGGUGGAGCAGGUACGAAAGUAGGGCUUAGUGAUCCGGUGGUAUUAAGUGGGAAUGCCAUCGCUCAACGGAUAAAAGCUACCCUGGGAUAACAGGCUUAUCACUCCCAAGAGUUCACAUCGACGGAGUGGUUUGGCACCUCGAUGUCGGCUCAUCGCAUCCUGGGGCUGUAGUAGGUCCCAAGGGUUGGGCUGUUCGCCCAUUAAAGCGGUACGCGAGCUGGGUUCAGAACGUCGUGAGACAGUUCGGUCCCUAUCCGGCGUGGGCGUAGGAUAUCUGAGAGGAGCUGUCCUUAGUACGAGAGGACCGGGAUGGACGGGCCGCUGGUGCAUCGGUUAGACUGCCAAGUCUACGGCCGAGUAGCCAAGCCCGGAAGGGAUAAACGCUGAAGGCAUCUAAGCGUGAAGCCCCCCUUAAGAUGAGAUAUCCCAUUCGAAAGAAGUAAACCCCCUUGAAGACGACGAGGUAGAUAGGGCAGAGGUGGAAGUGUGGCAACACAUGGAGCUGACUGUUACUAAUCGGGUGAGGGCUUGACC